CUCUUCAGAUGAGAACAACAACCAACAGCUCUCUCUUCAGAUGAGAACAUCAACCAACGACAACCAACAGCUCUCUCUUCAGAUGAGAACAACAACCAACGACAACCAACAGGUCUCUCUUCAGAUGAGAACAACAACCAACGACAACCAACAGCUCUCUCUUCAGAUGAGAACAACAACCAACAGCUCUCUCUUCAGAUGAGAACAUCAACCAACGACAACCAACAGCUCUCUCUUCAGAUGAGAACAACAACCAACGACAACCAACAGGUCUCUCUUCAGAUGAGAACAACAACCAACAACAACCAACACCUCUCUCUUCAGAUGAGAACAACAACCAACAGCUCUCUCUUCAGAUGAGAACAACAACCAACAGCUCUCUCUUCAGAUGAGAACAACAACAAACACCUCUCUCUUCAGAUGAGAACAUCAACCAACGACAACCAACAGCUCUCUCUUCAGAUGAGAACAUCAACCAACGACAACCAACAGCUCUCUCUUCAGAUGAGAACAUCAACCAACGACAACCAACACCUCUCUCUUCAGAUGAGAACAACAACUAACGACAACCAACAGCUCUCUCUUCAGAUGAGAACAACAACCAACAGCUCUGUCUUCAGAUGAGAACAACUACCAACAGGUCUCUCUUCAGAUGAGAACAACAACCAACAACAACCAACACCUCUCUCUUCAGAUGAGAACAACAACCAACAGCUCUCUCUUCAGAUGAGAACAACAACCAACAGCUCUCUCUUCAGAUGAGAACAUCAACCAACGACAACCAACAGCUCUCUCUUCAGAUGAGAACAACAACCAACGACAACCAACAGCUCUCUCUUCAGAUGAGAACAACAACCAACAACAACCAACACCUCUCUCUUCAGAUGAGAACAACAACCAACAACAACCAACACCUCUCUCUUCAGAUGAGAACAACAACCAACAGCUCUCUCUUCAGAUGAGAACAACAACCAACAGCUCUCUCUUCAGAUGAGAACAACAACAAACACCUCUCUCUUCAGAUGAGAACAUCAACCAACGACAACCAACAGCUCUCUCUUCAGAUGAGAACAUCAACCAACGACAACCAACAGCUCUCUCUUCAGAUGAGAACAUCAACCAACGACAACCAACACCUCUCACUUUAGAUGAGAACAACAACCAACGACAACCAACAGCUCUCUCUUCAGAUGAGAACAACAACCAACAGCUCUGUCUUCAGAUGAGAACAACUACCAACAGGUCUCUCUUCAGAUGAGAACAACAACCAACAACAACCAACACCUCUCUCUUCAGAUGAGAACAACAACCAACAGCUCUCUCUUCAGAUGAGAACAACAACCAACACCUCUCUCUUCAGAUGAGAACAUCAACCAACGACAACCAACAGCUCUCUCUUCAGAUGAGAACAUCAACCAACGACAACCAACAGCUCUCUCUUCAGAUGAGAACAACAACCAACAGCUCUCUCUUCAGAUGAGAACAACAACCAACACCUCUCUCUUCAGAUGAGAACAUCAACCAACGACAACCAACAGCUCUCUCUUCAGAUGAGAACAUCAACCAACGACAACCAACAGCUCUCUCUUCAGAUGAGAACAACAACCAACAACAACAACCAACAGCUCUCUCUUCAGAUGAGAACAUCAACCAACGACAACCAACAGCUCUCUCUUCAGAUGAGAACAACAACCAACAGCUCUCUUCAGAAGAGAACAACAACCAACACCUCUCUCUUCAGAUGAGAACAACAACCAACAGCUCUCUCUUCAGAUGAGAACAUAAACCACCGACAACAACAACCAACACCUCUCUCUUCAGAGGAAAACAACAACCGACAACAACUAACACCUCUUUCUUCAGAUGAGAACAACUUUAAUAAUCUCCCAGACUACAUGUUUGUUUCUUAUUAAAGGUUGUCACAAGCGUAAACUCUA